rnacentral:rRNA from 1 species
GACGAACGCUGGCGGCGUGCUUAACACAUGCAAGUCGAACGGUGAAGCGAGUGCUUGCACUCGUGGAUCAGUGGCGAACGGGUGAGUAACACGUGAGUAACCUGCCCAUCACUCUGGGAUAAGCACUGGAAACGGUGUCUAAUACUGGAUACGACCAACCCUUGCAUGGGGUGUUGGUGGAAAGAUUUAUCGGUGAUGGAUGGACUCGCGGCCUAUCAGCUUGUUGGCGGGGUAAUGGCCCACCAAGGCGACGACGGGUAGCCGGCCUGAGAGGGUGACCGGCCACACUGGGACUGAGACACGGCCCAGACUCCUACGGGAGGCAGCAGUGGGGAAUAUUGCACAAUGGGCGAAAGCCUGAUGCAGCGACGCCGCGUGGGGGAUGACGGCCUUCGGGUUGUAAACCUCUUUCAGCAGGGAAGAAGCGAAAGUGACGGUACCUGCAGAAGAAGCACCGGCUAACUACGG